GAUGAAGAACGUAGCGAAAUGCGAUAAGUAAUGUGAAUUGCAGAAUUCAGUGAAUCAUCGAAUCUUUGAACGCACAUUGCGCCCAUUAGUAUUCUAGUGGGCAUGCCUGUUCGAGCGUCAUUUCAACCCUUAAGCCUAGCUUAGUAUUGGGAAUCGACUUUACUGUCGUUCCUCAAAUUCAACGGCGGAUUUAUAGCAAUCUCUGAACGUAGUAAUUUUUUUCCUCGUUUUUGAAUACUAUAAACCUCAGCCGCUAAACCCCCAAUUUUUCUAUGGUUGACCUCGGAUCAGGUAGGAAUACCCGCUGAACUUAAGCAUAUCAAUAAGCGGAGGA
rnacentral:misc_RNA from 1 species